rnacentral:misc_RNA from 1 species
UCCGGCUUGUCACCGGCAGUCUCCUUAGAGUGCCCUUGCGUAGCAACUAAGGACAAGGGUUGCGCUCGUUGCGGGACUUAACCCAACAUCUCACGACACGAGCUGACGACAGCCAUGCAGCACCUGUGUUAUCGCUCCCUUUCGGGCACCCUAACCUUUCAGUUAAGUUCGAUACAUGUCAAGGGUAGGUAAGGUUUUUCGCGUUGCAUCGAAUUAAUCCACAUCAUCCACCGCUUGUGCGGGUCCCCGUCAAUUCCUUUGAGUUUUAAUCUUGCGACCGUACUCCCCAGGCGGUCAACUUCACGCGUAAGCUACGUUACUAAGGAAUAAAUUCCCCAACAACUAGUUGACAUCGUUUAGGGCGUGGACUAC